rnacentral:pre_miRNA from 1 species
UAAUCUAUUUGGAAUAGAUUCUUAUCUAAUUGUGUCAGACUCACAGUAACUACUCCGUCACUUGUUAUAAGAAACACUAGUCACUUGUUAUCAUAAACACAACCCCAUCAAGAAGUACUGGACUUGUAUACAGUAUCAUACC